rnacentral:rRNA from 1 species
GACGAACGCUGGCGGCGUGCUUAACACAUGCAAGUCGAACGGAAAGGCCCUGCUUUUGUGGGGUGCUCGAGUGGCGAACGGGUGAGUAACACGUGAGUAACCUGCCCUUGACUUUGGGAUAACUUCAGGAAACUGGGGCUAAUACCGGAUAGGAGCUCCUGCUGCAUGGUGGGGGUUGGAAAGUUUCGGCGGUUGGGGAUGGACUCGCGGCUUAUCAGCUUGUUGGUGGGGUAGUGGCUUACCAAGGCUUUGACGGGUAGCCGGCCUGAGAGGGUGACCGGCCACAUUGGGACUGAGGUACGGCCCAGGCUCCUACGGGAGGCAGCAGGGGGGAAUAUUGCACAAUGGGCGGAAGCCUGAUGCAGCAACGCCGCGUGCGGGAUGACGGCCUUCGGGUUGUAAACCGCUUUCGCCUGUGACGAAGCGUGAGUGACGGUAAUGGGUAAAGAAGCACCGGCUAACUACGUG